rnacentral:lncRNA from 1 species
UUUGAAUUUACAAUCAUGUCCUAAAACCUAUACAUUUAAACUGUCAUACAUGCUGAGGGCAAAGUUAUCCUUUCCUUCUUCUAUCCUGUUGGAUAAGCUCCGAAGGCUUCCUAUGAUUUUAUUCAGGUUCUUCUUCCUUCGGGCACACGCACAUCGCCACUUUCGACUGAAGCCUAACUUCGGCAUUAGUCCUACAACAUAUGAAACAAGGUAAAGAAUAGUUAUUGAAUUAGUAUUUUGAGGACCUUCGGAAGAAAAAAAAACCUCCAACAACAAUAUCAAAUGACUUCAAUAUGGUGCGGUGCCUCAAUCAAGCUACAGAGCAUAGCCUUGACCCAUCUCACCUCAAGAAAAUGAAUCAUUUAUUUGCCUAACCCUAACACCAACCUGGACUUGGUGUCACCUGUGGUACCCAAUCACCAUGGAGUUAUUGCAUUUUUAAAUUCAUGGGCCAUAACAAAUUGGACGUUGGUGUUAAAUUGACCCUCAAAUGAAGACAUUUUUGCUUGUACUGUAUUCUUAGGCUCAGUAGAUCAUACACAAGGGCAUUUAUGUCACGAUAAGGCAUGGGAAAUUCAGUGCUGAUACCUGCUGUCUUGCUAAUGAUUUAUAGCAGUGGCAGCGUGGCCUGUCGUCUUCUCAUCCUGCUCUAUUUAUCCUUCAGCCCCUCUAGGCUUAGCAGUCAGCUUGACUUGAGGAGGAAAAAAAAACAACACACCACACUGCAUUAAUAAUGGGGCGAUCACCAUGCUGUGAGAAGAUUGGACUGAAGAAAGGUCCAUGGACGCCGGAGGAGGAUGAGAAGCUGCUUGCCUUCGUUGAGGAACAUGGACACGGGAGCUGGCGGGCAU